AACGAACGCUGGCGGCAUGCCUAACACAUGCAAGUCGAACGAAGCCUUCGGGCUUAGUGGCGCACGGGUGCGUAACGCGUGGGAAUCUGCCCUUGGGUUUGGAAUAACAGAGAGAAAUUUCUGCUAAUACCGGAUGAUGUCUUCGGACCAAAGAUUUAUUGCCCAAGGAUGAGCCCGCGUAGGAUUAGCUAGUUGGUGGGGUAAUGGCCUACCAAGGCGACGAUCCUUAGCUGGUCUGAGAGGAUGAUCAGCCACACUGGGACUGAGACACGGCCCAGACUCCUACGGGAGGCAGCAGUGGGGAAUAUUGGACAAUGGGCGAAAGCCUGAUCCAGCAAUGCCGCGUGAGUGAUGAAGGCCUUAGGGUUGUAAAGCUCUUUUACCCGGGAUGAUAAUGACAGUACCGGGAGAAUAAGCUCCGGCUAACUCCGUGCCAGCAGCCGCAGUAA
rnacentral:rRNA from 1 species